AACGAACGCUGGCGGCAGGCUUAAUACAUGCAAGUCAAACGGCUGUAGCAAUACAGCAGUGGCAAACGGGUGAGUAACACGUGGGAACCUACCUAGGGGUACGGAAUAACUCAGGGAAACUUGUGCUAAUACCGUAUACAACCUCAGGGUGAAAGAUUUAUCGCCCCUAGAUGGGCCCGCGUUGGAUUAGCUAGUUGGUGAGGUAAAAGCUCACCAAGGCGACAAUCCAUAGCUGGUCUGAAAGGAUGAUCAGCCACACUGGGACUGAAACACGGCCCAAACUCCUACGGGAGGCAGCAGUAGGGAAUCUUGGACAAUGGGCGAAAGCCUGAUCCAGCCAUGCCGCGUGUGUGAUGAAGGCCUUAGGGUUGUAAAGCACUUUCGCUAGGGAAAAUAAUGACGGUACCUAAAUAAAAAGCCCCGGCUAACUUCGUG
rnacentral:rRNA from 1 species